UACGUAGGGGGCUAGCGUUGUCCGGAAUCAUUGGGCGUAAAGCGCGUGUAGGCGGCUCGGUAAGUCUGCUGUGAAAGUCGGGGGCUCAACCCUCGGAUGCCGGUGGAUACUGUCGGGCUAGAGUACGGAAGAGGCGAGUGGAAUUCCUGGUGUAGCGGUGAAAUGCGCAGAUAUCAGGAGGAACACCAAUUGCGAAGGCAGCUCGCUGGGACGUUACUGACGCUGAGACGCGAAAGCGUGGGGAGCAAACAGG
rnacentral:rRNA from 1 species